GAGGAAUUAAAUUUUGGAUUAGUUGAGUAAUAAUAAUGACCAAUGUUUUUACCAUUUUUCUUUGUUCUUCUUUUCAAAGACAUUCAAAUCAAAAAGAUUAUUUUUUAUUAAUUUCUAAAAUUACCCAGGAGACAAAACAAAACAGUAGAAGAGGAAGGGAGAAAAAAGUGAGAGGCAGCAGGUUUCAGAUAGAUAUUAAAUUAUUAAUGCAGAUGGCAAAUUGUCUUAUCCUCUGCAAGGAGAUGAGAUAGCUUAGAUUCAUGAAAACUCAUUUUGGCAUGCAUACACGUGUGUGCACUCAUUCACAUAUACACACACAACAGAGAGAGAAAGAGAUUGAAAAUCAUUAUAGGUGAUUUGAACAGAGAGGAGGUGCAUAGGCAAAGUAAGUCCAUUCCAAGUAGUGAAGAAUUUCACUUGGCUUUUUACAAUUUCAUCAAGUUGUAUGCUUUUUAAUUGUUCAUCUGCCUUUGACAUAUGGUCAUGAAAGAGGAAGAGUUUAUUCUGUCAAAGAAAGAGACCUCACUUUGAGACAGAGGAGUCAGUUAGACAAUCUUUCUAUAAGGGUUUCUUUUUAUUUUAAUGCCUCUUUCAAAUAAACACUAUUGUUUAUGGUAAAGGUUUCCCAAAGUAACCACUGAAAUUUUAGAUCAAUCCUGGUGUAAUUAUUUUAGAGGGAUAUGCACAUGAGUUAACACAAGAAAAAAGAUCCUGUGUAGAUGAUAAAAGUCAAAAAAGGUAGUUCUACUUUGUGUCUCUAGAAUCUGGUCAAAGAUGAGUUGAUAACAGCUGGGGGCCUAAUAUGGCUUGGCUGUGUGUCCUCACCCAAAUUUCAUCUUGUAGCUCCAAUAAUUCCCAUGUGCUGUGGGAGGGACAUGGUGGGAGAUGAUUGAAUCAUAGGGGUGGGUCUUUUUUAUUUUGGAAAAUUCUUUAUUGUUUACCUGGGCUACAUAUUC
rnacentral:lncRNA from 10 species